AAAUUGAAGAGUUUGAUCAUGGCUCAGAUUGAACGCUGGCGGCAGGCCUAACACAUGCAAGUCGAACGGUAACAGGAAGCAGCUUGCUGCUUCGCUGACAAGUGGCGGACGGGUGAGUAAUGUCUGGGAAACUGCCUGAUGGAGGGGGAUAACUACUGGAAACGGUGGCUAAUACCGCAUAACGUCGCAAGACCAAAGAGGGGGACCUUCGGGCCUCUUGCCAUCAGAUGUGCCCAGAUGGGAUUAGCU
rnacentral:rRNA from 5 species